GACGAACGCUGGCGGCGUGCCUAAUACAUGCAAGUAGAACGCACAGUUUAUACCGUAGCUUGCUUCACCAUAGACUGUGAGUUGCGAACGAGUGAGUAACGCGUAGCUAACCUGCCUGGUAUCGGGGGGUAACUAUGGGAAACGAUAGCUAAUACCUCAUGAUAUUAAUUAUUGCAUGAUAAUUGAUUGAAAGGUGCAAUUGCACCACUACCAGAUGGACCUGCGUUGUAUUAGCUAGUAGGAGAGGUAACGGGGCACCUAAGCGAAGAUACAUCGCCGAACUGAGAGGGGGAUCGGCCAAACUGGGAACGGGACCCGGGCCAGACCUCUACGGGAGGCAGCAGUAGGGAAUCUUUGGCAAUGGACGGAAGUCUGAACGAGGAACGCCGCGGGAGUGAAGAAGGGUCUCGGAUUGUAAAGACCUGUUGUAAGGGAAGAACGGGAGUGAGAGUGGAAAGUGCACACCGUGACGGUACCUUAUCAGAAAGCGACGGCUAACUACGUG
rnacentral:rRNA from 1 species